UGGAAGCAUCUCUGGGUUUCUUGUGGC
rnacentral:piRNA from 1 species